rnacentral:misc_RNA from 1 species
GAUGAAGAACGUAGCGAAAUGCGAUACUUGGUGUGAAUUGCAGAAUCCCGUGAACCAUCGAGUCUUUGAACGCAAGUUGCGCCCGAAGCCAUUAUGCCGAGGGCACGCCUGCCUGGGUGUCACACGUCGUUGCCCCCCCAUCUACUCCUUCGGGAUUGCGGGGGGCGGAUGAUGGCCUCCCGUGCGCCUCGUCGCGCGGUUGGCAUAAAUGCCAAGUCCUCGGCGACGCACGCCACGACAAUCGGUGGUUGCGAAAACUCGGUUGCCCGUCGUGUGCGGUCGUCGCGCAUCGAGGGCUCGAAAAAAUUGCCGGGCUCCGGCUCGGCUUUCAACGCGACCCCAGGUCAGGCGGGGUUACCCGCUGAAUUUAAGCAUAUCAAUAAGCGGAGGA